rnacentral:rRNA from 1 species
UGGGGAAUAUUGGGCAAUGGGCGCAAGCCUGACCCAGCCACGCCGCGUGAGUGAUGAAGGCCUUCGGGUCGUAAAGCUCUGUGGGGAAGGACGAAAAAACAUUGGCUAAUAUCCAAUGGCUUGACGGUACUUCCUUAGCAAGCACCGGCUAACUCUGUGCCAGCAGCCGCGGUAAUACAGAGGGUGCGAGCGUUAAUCGGAGUGACUGGGCGUAAAGGGCAUGUAGGCGGUUAUAUUAGUCUGAUGUGAAAGACCUAGGCUUAACCUGGGACAUGCAUUGGAAACGGUAUAGCUAGAGUAUGGGAGAGGGAAGUGGAAUUUCCGGUGUAGCGGUGAAAUGCGUAGAGAUCGGAAAGAACACUCGUGGCGAAGGCGGCUUCCUGGCCCAAAACUGACGCUGAGGUGCGAAAGCAUGGGGAGCAAACAGGAUUAGAUACCCGAGUAGUCCCUGAGCGGGCUGGCAAGGCGCAU